rnacentral:lncRNA from 1 species
GGUGACAGGGGUGAUGGGCGGGAGGGCGGCAAGGGUCGAGCAGGAGGGAGGACGGUGGCGGAGGCGUAGGGAGGGGCCGCAGGGACGACGGUAGCGGGUCAGGCGGGAGGGGGUUGGCGGGAGGCACGAGACAUUUAAUGAGGAGUACACUCUGUUCAUGUACCUUUUAGUCCCUAUAAGCAAUCCCUUGGGAACUAAAUGGCUAAACUUUAGAAAUUAUUUGACAUUGUAGGGACUAAAAUGACUAAACUAUAGGCAAACCAAACCGGCUUCGUUCGCAGAUCCGGCCAAUCAGAUUCGGCAAAGAGCCAAAGACCAAAGGCUUUUCUCAAGACGAGCAGAUCAGUAGGUCACUAGUGCGGUUGGUGGAACAGGAACAUCCGUCCACUCCUCCAACCCCACGGGUUCCCAGAGAUUCUUUGGCGGUAGGUGAUCCGGAUCCCAACAAAAAUCCAUGCCCCACCCCGAUGCACCCGUCCACCAAACCCCCCCUGCUCGUCGCUAGCGACACUGACGCACCAUCCC